UAAAAAUGUAAGAAAUAUUUAUAAAUAUAAUUUUACAUUGAUAUAAAUUUAAUUUAUUAAUAUUUAUAAAACAAUAAUUUUGUUUGUUAUUUAGCGCUAAAAAUGUUAAUUUUGAGGGUUCAUAAUCUGGUCCAGGAUCAGAGACAAAGUUUAAAAGCUUAAAAAUUAAGUGUUUAUGAUAAAUAGGACCACUUAAUUUUAUUUAUUUAUGCACAGAAAUUGG
rnacentral:misc_RNA from 1 species